AUUGAACGCUGGCGGCAGGCUUAACACAUGCAAGUCGAGCGGGGAAAGGUAGCUUGCUACCUGACCUAGCGGCGGACGGGUGAGUAAUGCUUAGGAAUCUGCCUAUUAGUGGGGGACAACAUCUCGAAAGGGAUGCUAAUACCGCAUACGUCCUACGGGAGAAAGCAGGGGACCUUCGGGCCUUGCGCUAAUAGAUGAGCCUAAGUCGGAUUAGCUAGUUGGUGGGGUAAAGGCCUACCAAGGCGACGAUCUGUAGCGGGUCUGAGAGGAUGAUCCGCCACACUGGGACUGAGACACGGCCCAGACUCCUACGGGAGGCAGCAGUGGGGAAUAUUGGACAAUGGGGGGAACCCUGAUCCAGCCAUGCCGCGUGUGUGAAGAAGGCCUUUUGGUUGUAAAGCACGUUAAGCGAGGAGGAGGCUACCGAGAUUAAUACUCUUGGAUAGUGGACGUUACUCGCAGAAUAAGCACCGGCUAACUCUGUG
rnacentral:rRNA from 1 species